UGCCUAAAACUUUCCUCACAUACAAGAAAAGAACUAUCUCCUUUUUAUCAGUACUGAUGUUAAUCCAUGAAUCUUACAGAAUUUAAGAACUGGAGGAGGUAAAACAUUUAGACCUCAACAGAAUACUAAGUGGGAAUGUAAAAAUUACUUUUUACACCUGUUAGCAGUGAGGAGUAAUGAAGUUGAGAAUACUGUGGAUCCACUGCAUUCUAAAGUAACAAGAAGAUAAUUGGAAACUCAGCUGAAAGCAACUGGAAGGGCUUUGCCGGCCAGAUGUGACUGAUAGAGUCAUUUAAAGCUGUGAGAGCUGUGAACAUGGGAGAGGACCCAGGAUUUGUUCUGAAAAAAAUGCUAUUAAUAGAAGUGGGCAGUAAGAAAGAGGAUGAGACCAAAUAUCAGAAGCAGAAUGCACUGAAAAACUUCAAAUAUUUAAACAAUAGUAAUUCUUCUGUUCAAAGCCUUAUUUUGAAUUCAUUAACAGAUUUAGAGUACCUUCUAAAUAAAUCAGAUAUAAUAGAAAAAUUACAGAGAGAGACAAUACCCUAUUAAGCCAUUUUUUCUUUCACCAGAGAGGAAAAUGUACUUUAUGUAAUUUAGAAAAAAAGAUCUUGUUACUCUUUUGUUAUUCACAUGAUUAAAAUAGAUGCCAAGGACAUAUGAAAAGGCAAAGUGUCUGUUAAAAUGACAAAGUGUAACAGUGAAUAUUUAUCAUUAAAAUGUUAAUUUUUAAGAGAAUAAAAACUAUGGAAAGCCUUUUUU